CACCCUCCCCUCACCCUACCGUUUAAAACCUUUCCCUGAAAACCACUGAGUAAUUCAGGUCUUUUGGGCACUAGCUACAUGAACUUCUCGCCUGGCCUCUGCAGUGCACACGGAACUUUAUUUCAGUGCAACCUGGUGUCAGUAGAUUGCCCUUAUUGCCUACGGGCCAGGGGACCCAAGUUUGAUUCAGUAACAGUAACUGCAUAUUGUAGGACAAAGCAAAUGGGUAAAUUAUAGUGGAAUUACUGAGAAGAUGAUGCUUCAGCAUGAGAGAAAGAUGAAGGACUCUCCAUUCACUGAAAGAGAAACCAAUUCAGUACCAACAGUCCCCUCUAAUAUCAAGAUUGUGGCCUUUCAGUUCAGUUGCUCAGUCGUGUCUGACUCUUUGCGACCCCAUGGACUGCACCAUGCCAGGCUUCCCUGUCCAUCAAAAGUGUGUGUGUUAAUUGCUUAGUUGUGUCCGACUCUUUGCAACUCCAAGGACUGUAGCCUACCAGAAUCCUCCAUCCAUGGAAUUUUCCAGGUUUACAGGAACAUAGCAUCCAUACGUACUCAAAGAGCUGUAAGAACAAAGGAUUACAACACCAAGAAGCUUGCAACAAUGAGCCACAUCCCCUCCCUUUUUAAUAGAAGUCUAAAUUCCAACUUUGAUUACUUAUUCACAGAAAAGUCCCGAAAUGCCAUCACAUCAAGUGCCUAAUGACGUAUUAAUCGCUGAACGCUCACCGCAGUCUUGGCUUCAGACUUUGGUCUCUGCACUGGGAGGGCUGGAGAAGACAGCCUGUCUUAGAUAAAGGCGGAUAAAGCCCCCCAGAGACGGGACUGUCCAGACCCCUGCUUUAUUGAUGAGACUGGGGCGCUGGUCUCGCUGAUUCCAAGCUCAUGAAGAUACGAGAGGACCAGAGAGGACAUGCUAAGUGAAAUUCUUUUUAAACGGUUGCUUUUCCUUCCUUUUGAUGUGACUGUAUCUUAAACCAUGGGAAAAUGAAUUCCACAAACAACUUUCUCAGAGUCCAUUCUUCCCACCAUUGUGGGAUCUUGCGGGGGUAAGCCGUCCGCAGUCUUCUGAACUGGCUGUACAGAAGCAACUGGCACGUGAGCCUAGGAAAUAGAACUCAAAACCGGCUGCAAGCAUGUUGCUCCUUGGCAACUGAAACAGGUCUAAUCUGCUCUGGGGAGAGCCGAACCUCUGCAGUCAUUUGUCUCAUCUGCUGGGCUCCUGCCCCGGUGUUAAUCAGUUCUGCAG
ensembl:lncRNA